rnacentral:tRNA from 1 species
GACAAGGUGGCUGAAUAAGGCAUUAGGCUGUAAAUCUAAUUAUAGGGGUAUUAGUCCCCUUCUUGUCA